UACGGAGGAUGCAAGCGUUAUCCGGAAUGAUUGGGCGUAAAGCGUCCGUAGGUGGCUAUUCAAGUCUGCUGUUAAAGCGCAGGGCUUAACCCUGUAAAGGCGGUGGAAACUGGAGAGCUAGAGUGUGGUAGGGGUAGAGGGAAUUCCCGGUGUAGCGGUGAAAUGCGUAGAGAUCGGGAAGAACACCAGUGGCGAAAGCGCUCUACUGGGCCACAACUGAUACUGAUGGACGAAAGCUAGGGGAGCGAAUGGG
rnacentral:rRNA from 1 species